CAAUAAAAGUAGCAUUUCUUACAGAAAAUGAACCGAUUUUCCUUGUUUUUGAUGUUAUUUUGUGUUGAAAUGGUGAAAGCACCACUUCCCUCACUUCAGUAUUUCUACACUGAAAUGAGGGAAGUGAGCCACAUAUAAAAGCCCACUUCCCCCCUUCCAAAACUUUUUCUACAGUUGGAGAACUCCAUCUUCCGGUGGAUCUCACAAGCCCUAAAAUCUCUUCUCUCUUUUGGUUGAUCUCAAUAAUACAGGGCGUCAAACUGGUGGUGGAUCUCAUGAAUACAGGAUGUCAUCCCGGUGGUCUUUGAGAUUUUGUUUCAAGUCAGAUCUCUCCUUCGGUGGAUCUCACAAACCCUGUAAACUUUUCCUCUCUUCCGGUGGAUCUUAAGAAUGGUCAUCCUGGUGAUCUCUGAUUUUGUUUUAGGUUAGAUCUCUCCCGUGAUAGCCAAAAUCUGAUUUCCGAUGCAUAUACUUCUAUUAUAUGUAGGUGAAUAUUAUAAACGUUGGUGAAGCCAUAGUGAUUGAAGUUGUUCUAUCA